UUCACUAACUCCAACUCAGAGUGUUUCUGCCCAGGCGAGAAGUUAAAAGUUUUUAUUACCCCUUUUUUGUUCCCCCUUUUUGUCAAAAUGCAUAUUAGGAGGAAGGAAAAAUCAGUCAGAUGUGGCAGCGAUUGGGAGGAGACUGCUAGAGCAUAAACAGGCAACAGAGAUGUGCACAGAAUCAUCUGUCUCCUUCUUCACCCAGAAAUGGGCCUCACGUCCUUGUAGCAAUGACGCAGUGAACAUCCCAAGGAAUUCCAGGACUGGAAGCAGAAGAGCCAGCGAAUUGUCAGGGCGCAAAGGAGAUCAUCCCCUGCACCUCUGAUUUCUUCUAGGCUGGCAAAGAAGCAUCUAGCAGAUUAAGAAGAGAAAAAGUCAAAAAGAAGUUUAAAAACUUGUAUCCCUCCUGUAUAUAUGGGAGAGACCCAAGACGACUGAGUAACGCCCCCACCUGGCUUCAGACACCAUCUUAAAUAGCUCAGGGAUGAAUUCACAUUGAUCAACAUGAUCAGGCGCCCAGGGCCUGAGGAAACUGAAAGUCUGUUUAUCUUGAAGAAUACAGACACUUUACAACUGUCACCCUCAUCCCUCCCCUGGAGGUAGAAGCUACGGCCAUCAGACAGACCUGGAAUCAGACAGAGGAUGGCUUGUAUCAUUUGAACAGGAAUCAUUUCUUCCAGCCCAGGGUGGUCUCGGAAGAUGGUGCAUCCUCAUCCCUAACUCCCAUCACUGGGCCAAGACUCAGGAUUCCUCCUCCUCGGGCCUUAGCACAAAGGGGCCCUGGCAGGGGGGCUGUUCUCCAGGACUCAGGUUCACCAUCCUCAGCCACCAAGUCUUAGUGGGGGGAUUUCCAUGAAGGUGCAGGGGUUGGGGUGCCUGGAUCCCCAUGUUGAGUCUUCACCCCAAUGUCCCUGAUUGUGACCGUGUUUGGCAGCAGGGUUUUCACAGAGGUGACUAAGGUCCCGUGCACUCACUGGCUGGACUCUACUCCAUCUGACUGGUCUCCACCUAAGGGGAUGAGAUGAGGACCAAGCCACACAGGACCCAUGACGUGUGGACACGGGACGAAGGCGGCCCUCCUGAAGCCAAGGAGUGAGGCCUCAGAAGAAACCAUAGGUGCUGGCACCCUGAUGUGAGACUUGAAGCCUCCAGAACUGUGAUGAAGUGAACUCCUGUUGCUUCAGACUGUGGUUCUUGGUGGGGGCUGCACUCGCAGACAGACAAGCGCUUUCUGCUCUGGGGCUGCUUGUUUGGGAUGCCAGAUGCCAGUUUCAUGGCCGGGCAGCCCAGAAGAAGCUCAAAUUAGCAGGCUGUUCUUAGAACCAAGUUUCCUGGACAGGCUUCAAAAGAACAUUCUCCCUGGUGAUAUAGACAAUUGAGAGCCACAAAAAAAAAAAAAAAAAAAAAAAAACCCGCGGCCCAAAGUGGUUCUUCCCGGCCUAGCCUUUCUUGCUGUAGCCGCGGCCGGUGCCCAGGAAAGCCGGCCGAGGGGAAAACGGUGUCAUUUCUUAAUAAAUAAUUGAGAAUUUAGGGCCCAAGCCCAUGAGGAAUUUUAUCUUGUUCUCCCAGCAUCUGCCGGAGGAGGGGAAAAUGCUGAGGCUUUAUUCUAAUAUUGGAUUGGAAGGGGCAGGGCCCUGAGCACAGACGGCAAGAAGGGACCUUCCCCUCCCACACGCGCCUGCCUUGAACACUCUAAGCAAAGCACUGCAGUCCCCUUGCUGCAGGCAAGUAAUUGCAAAGGUCUCUUGGGGGAAAUAGUCCUGAUGUUACCUCAGGGAGGGUCACAGGGAAGUGCUUCCGGCUGAGGCAGUGGGAAAGGGUGGAGGCCAAAGGGCUGAAUAUUAAUGGCAGCUAUCAUCACCAGCUCUUAACAUAAUGGAAAAGCCCUUUGCCGGCAGUGCUGGGCGGGCCUCACACAGAAAUGCAAUCUCCUGGAACACAGAGUGGGCAGCGACAAGCAGUUUAUCUUCCAUUACUCCAAGGCCUUAAAUCAUUAUCAACGCAGAGCCAGCAAAGGGGCCAAAACUCUGCCUGGAAUUAGGAUAUUCUCUUCUUUUCUGAAUGAAUGCAAAUAGGAACGACAUGAAGGCUCAUUGUUUUGGGGUGGAUUAUGUCCCCCCCAAAGAAGACACAAUGCCGCCUUAACUCCCAAGAGCUCAGAAGUGGCCUUAUUUGGAAACAGGGUCUUUACAGCUGAGAUCAAAUUAAAAUGAGGUCUGUAGGGUGGACCCUAAUCUAUUCUGACUCGCGUCAGAUUAGACACAUAAAAAGGGAAAAUUUGGACACAGAGACACACACCAGGAGAGCAGCACGUGAAGAGGAAGGCAGAUGUGGGAGUGAGCUUUCCCCAGAGGUGGCCGGCAAAUGCUAGAAGCUGGGGAGAGGCUUGGAAGCAGUUUCUUCCUCACAGCCCUCAGAAACAUCAACUAGCCGACAUCUUGAUCUCAGCCUUCUAGCCGGCAGAAUGGCGAGACGAGUCAUUUCUAUCAUCUUACCACUUGGCACAUAUUAAGAAAGCCCUAGCAAACUAACACCCAGGAAAACCCCAGCCAGCUGAGGGAAGAAAAAGCAGUCCCCUGUCAUCCCAAAAUAGUCCACAGACAUGGCUGGGGAGGAGAGAAUCAGGUCACGCCUUCUCUGGGGGUUUUACCUGGAUAACAUUUGUAUAACCAUGUGGAGGUCCCAAUAUACAAGUCUUGCCUCAAAGGGGUAUUUCCUCUUCUGAAAAGCAUCUUCCUGGCCCCAGUUUCCAGCAGCGACCACACCAGCUGACCCGGGUAGGUGGUGAUGGCAGGAAGUGAGGCGUUGUCUCACUAAAGUGGAGUGGACUUCCCGGUAGUAGGGCAGGGUUUCCUGGGCCUGGACGGCUCAUCUGACUUGCCAAUUUUUUUUAAGAUUUAUUUAUUUAUGGAUACAAGAACUGGGGUGUAAGCCAGAGGUGAGUGGGUGAGAGGAUUCACCAGAGACAGAGUGGGGAACAGAACAGGUGGAUCAACUGAAAUACACUGCUGAGGGGAGCAGCGGGAGGCAGGAGAGGUCUGCUGCGCCAUGUGAGUAGCUCCCUGGCUGGCUGGGGAUUGAACUCAUACUGCAGUGGCUGGUGAUAGCUCGAUAGUGCUGUCCUUAACACCUGCACCACCAGGGAGGCCCCGACUUGCCAAUUAUUGAGCCCCUAGGUUGAGAAGCCCCACUAGCCAGUCACCAGGAGGAAACAGACCCGCUUCCCUGGGCAACUGCUCCAGAACCAGCUGGAGCUAAUGGCCACAUAGAGGGAGGUGGCGGAGGACCUGAACUAGGAGUCACCGAGGACUCAGCAGCGUGCUGAGUAGAAUCUUGAGUGUUUAUGAGACACACUGCUUAGAAGAAGCAUGCCGUCCCUCACGCACGCCCAUGCGGCCCUGCCCGAAACACGCGUGUUCCUCCCGCCACUACUACCACCCCGGUAACCAGUCCCACAGAACCAGGCCCCGCGCAGGUGGAGAGUGUGGUUCAGGGCAGUUGCUGCCUCUCUCCUGUGUUGUGAGCCACAGUAAGCGCUCCUCAACUGACCCCAGUUAUUGGCAUUUCAAAUCCAUGUGGGAUUCAUUGGUGAAAGUCAAAUACCCUCCUGGUUCUGAGCUGUCAAGGUUGCCAGCGCU